UACGUAGGGGGCGAGCGUUGUCCGGAAUCAUUGGGCGUAAAGCGCGUGUAGGCGGCCCGGAAAGUCUGGUGUGAAAACUUGAGGCUCAACCUCAAGCUGUCACUGGAUACUAUCGGGCUUGAGUCCGGAAGAGGAGAGUGGAAUUCCUGGUGUAGCGGUGGAAUGCGCAGAUAUCAGGAGGAACACCAAUGGCGAAGGCAGCUCUCUGGUACGUGACUGACGCUGAGACGCGAAAGCGUGGGGAGCGAACAGG
rnacentral:rRNA from 1 species